UACGGGGGGGGCAAGCGUUGUUCGGAAUUACUGGGCGUAAAGGGCUCGUAGGCGGCCAACUAAGUCAGACGUGAAAUCCCUCGGCUUAACCGGGGAACUGCGUCUGAUACUGGAUGGCUUGAGGUUGGGAGAGGGAUGCGGAAUUCCAGGUGUAGCGGUGAAAUGCGUAGAUAUCUGGAGGAACACCGGUGGCGAAGGCGGCUCACUGGUCCGGUACUGACGCUGAGGUGCGAAAGCGUGGGGAGCAAACAGG
rnacentral:rRNA from 1 species